rnacentral:rRNA from 1 species
GAUAAACGCUGGUGGCGUGCAUGAGACAUGCAAGUCGAACGGGCUUCUCGGGCUUGCUCGAGAAGCUAGUGGCGGACGGCUGAGUAACGCGUGGGUGACCUACCCCGAAGUGGGGAAUAACUGCCCGAAAGGGUGGCUAAUACCGCAUGUGAUCGGUCAUUCGAUUGACUGAUCAAAGCAGCAAUGCGCUUUGGGAGGGGCCUGCGUCCGACUAGCUCGUUGGUGGGGUAACGGCUCACCAAGGCGACGAUCGGUAGGUGGUCUGAGAGGACGAUCACGCAGACUGGGACUGAGACACGGCCCAGACUCCUACGGGAAGCAGCAGUCGGGAAUUUUGCUCAAUGGGCGCAAGCCUGAAGCAGCAACGCCGCGUGAGGGAUGAAGGCCUUCGGGUUGUAAACCUCUUUUGGCAGGGAAGAAGCGCAAGUGACGGUACCUGCAGAAAAAGCACCGGCUAACUACGUGCCAGCCGCCGCAGUAAUAC